ensembl:miRNA gmo-mir-11212 gmo-mir-11212
UAUCUGCUGGUACAGUCUGCUCCACCAGCUGUAGCAGAUGUAACCAGCGGGUUAU